UAGGGAAUCUUCCACAAUGGGCGCAAGCCUGAUGGAGCAACGCCGCGUGUGUGAUGAAGGCUUUCGGUCGUAAAGCACUGUUGUAUGGGAAGAAAUGCUAGAAUAGGGAAUGGUUCUAGUUCGACGGUACCAUACCAGAAAGGGACGGCUAAAUACGUGCCAC
rnacentral:rRNA from 1 species